GGAGAUGUGGCUUAGUGGUAGAGCAUCUGCUUGGCAUGCAGAAGGUGCCAGGUUCAACCUCCAACAUCUCCA
rnacentral:tRNA from 1 species